rnacentral:rRNA from 1 species
AUUCCAGCUCCAAUAGCGUAUAUUAAAGUUGUUGCAGUUAAAAAGCUCGUAGUUGGAUUUGUGGUGACAGUUGUGGUCCAUUUUUGGUACUAACGAUUGUUGCCAUCCUUGGGUGGAACCUGUGUGGCAUUAACUUGUCGUGCAGGGGAUGCCCAUCGUUUACUGUGAAAAAAUCAGCGCGUUCAAAGCAGGCUUAUGCCGUUGAAUGUCUUAGCAUGGAAUAAUAAGAUAGGACCUUGGUGCUAUUUUGUUGGUUUGCGUACCGAGGUAAUGAUUAAUAGGGACAGUUGGGGGUAUUCGUAUUCCAUUGUCAGAGGUGAAAUUCUUGGAUUUCUGGAAGACGAACUACUGCGAAAGCAUUUACCAAGGAUGUUUUC